AGCGGCGGACGGGUGAGUAAUGCUUAGGAAUCUGCCUAUUAGUGGGGGACAACAUUCCGAAAGGAAUGCUAAUACCGCAUACGUCCUACGGGAGAAAGCAGGGGAUCUUCGGACCUUGCGCUAAUAGAUGAGCCUAAGUCGGAUUAGCUAGUUGGUGGGGUAAAGGCCUACCAAGGCGACGAUCUGUAGCGGGUCUGAGAGGAUGAUCCGCCACACUGGGACUGAGACACGGCCCAGACUCCUACGGGAGGCAGCAGUGGGGAAUAUUGGACAAUGGGGGGAACCCUGAUCCAGCCAUGCCGCGUGUGUGGAGAAGGCCUUAUGGUUGUAAAGCACUUUAAGCGAGGAGGAGGCUACUGAGACUAAUACUCUUGGAUAGUGGACGUUACUCGCAGAAUAAGCACCGGCUAACUCUGUGCCAGCAGCCGCGGUAAUACAGAGGGUGCGAGCGUUAAUCGGAUUUACUGGGCGUAAAGCGUGCGUAGGCGGCUUUUUAAGUCGGAUGUGAAAUCCCCGAGCUUAACUUGGGAAUUGCAUUCGAUACUGGGAAGCUAGAGUAUGGGAGAGGAUGGUAGAAUUCCAGGUGUAGCGGUGAAAUGCGUAGAGAUCUGGAGGAAUACCGAUGGCGAAGGCAGCCAUCUGGCCUAAUACUGACGCUGAGGUACGAAAGCAUGGGGAGCAAACAGGAUUAGAUACCCUGGUAGUCCAUGCCGUAAACGAUGUCUACUAGC
rnacentral:rRNA from 1 species